CGUCUUCAGACACUUAAAACAGCAUAUGGCGAGAGCAGGGUUGGCUGGCAUUGACGUGGGUAGUCCUGUGUCCUCAAAGGGCACUAUUAGGGCCUAUCAUAUGGGACGCUAGGACAUCGGUAGAAAAAAAAUGAACAGGACGGGGCAUGUAUGAGAGUCGGAAGGCUGGGUCACAUAAUGCACCUGAGACUGCGAGGGAUCUCUGUUAUAGCGUUGGAACGUUGAGGUGUAUGCAUUAAUAAUGAAAUAGGGCUACAGAACUACACAUUCCAUUUACCCAUUGCAGCCAAAAGGUAAGCAUAGUACAUACAGUAGUUCCUUGACGUCAUUUGGAGGCUCCCCCUCUGUAGUUCGACACUAGAGACGCUUAGCAGCGCACAAAUAUCCGCAUAGGCCUACUGGGGAGUGGAAAGAAGUAGACGACCGAAUCAUUCAUUCCGUGAUGGAAAGUAAUGCGCUACCAGUUCCAGUUUGAAUACAGGACCCCCAUAGGCUACUACCUCCAACCCUUGCUGGGAAAGUUAGAAGUUCACAGCCACUGCAGGGACCAGGAUAAAUGUCAGUUCUGAUUGAGGAAUUAAUUGUGAAACAUAAUGGGCCUCUCAGAAAUUGGAAGCUGGAAAAUCAGUGCUGUCCCCAAAUAGCUUUGUUUUAUGGGGUGUAAUAUGUCUAGGGUCUAUGUGUCUUCACAAAAUAAAAUACUGUAAAUGUAAUAGGAUUUGAACCGUGGUCCUGAAAUAAGUAUUUUUCAUUGUUUUUUCACUAAUUUCUUAUCAUUACAUCUUUCUUACUAUCGAAUAUUACCUCUUUCUCAAAUUGAGCAGACAAAAAGGUUCCUGUAGUUCAGACAGGUUUCCCCAAAUGUGCUUAUAAUUUCCCCCACUUGGACACAGUAUGUGAAAUUGUACUGGGUUAUGUGGCCUGUCUCAUCUGAGCACGUGCAAGGCUGUCAGUGAGGACAAGGACUUGUGGGGUCAGGGGGCUCUGUCCACUGGCCAUCUGGCCCUCGGGGGUCUGGCUUCCUCACUGGCCGGCCUUUGUUCCUUGGGAACAAUUGGAAGUUAAUCUGGGGAGGAGAUAAGUAAAGUCCCGGUGACACUGAUUCAGCCUUUGGACAGGUUUAUGUAGCCUUGAAUGAGACAUACCCCCCCUACCUUGUCUGUGCUUUAAGUCCUAGCCUAUUUAUUUUUCCAACCCUAACCCAUCUAGGUAGUCUGUAUUUGGAAUAAUCAACUGCAGGUUGUUCAAUCUGUAUGAAUCUAGUCCCUCAGCUGCCUACAUACUGUCCAUUUUGGGGCUGUCAUUCCAGAAAAUCAAUUCUCAGUACUCGUCGUUUGCAAUGUUUUGCGUAAUCAUCCAACUUCAGUUAUACAAGUCGCAGGUCAUGACUCGGCAAACUAGACAUGGUUUUUCUCAGAAACACCUGUAGAAUGACUAAAUGUUUAUAUACUGUGCAUUCACUAAGUUUGAUGGCUACUUCAGUCAUAAACCUGAACAAAACAUUCUCAAUAAUGUAGGUGUAAUAAAAUAAAAAUAGAAAUCCACACUUUAAAUGGCCCAAAUGUAAUUUUUGAAUCUUUGAUUUUAAUACUGU